UACAGAGGGGGCAAGCGUUGUUCGGAAUUACUGGGCGUAAAGGGCGCGUAGGCGGCCCGCUAAGUCGAACGUGAAAUCCCCCGAGCUCAACUCGGGAACUGCGUCCGAUACUGGCGGGCUUGAGGCAGGUAGGGGAGAUCGGAAUUCCUGGUGUAGCGGUGAAAUGCGCAGAUAUCAGGAGGAACACCGGUGGCGAAGGCGGAUCUCUGGGCCUGUCCUGACGCUGAGGCGCGAAAGCUAGGGGGAGCGAACAGG
rnacentral:rRNA from 1 species